rnacentral:rRNA from 1 species
UGCGUAGGCGGUACUAUAAGUCAGUGGUGAAAUGUUGCAGCUUAACUGUAAAAUUGCCAUUGAAACUGCAGUACUUGAGUUAUCUUGAAGUAGGCGGAAUGUGUAGUGUAGCGGUGAAAUGCUUAGAUAUUACACAGAACACCGAUUGCGAAGGCAGCUUACUAAGGGUAAACUGACGCUGAUGCACGAAAGCGUGGGGAUCGAACAGGAUUAGAUACCCUGGUAGUCCACGCCGUAAACGAUGAUAACUCGCUGUUGGCGAUACACAGUCAGCGGCUUAGCGAAAGCGUUAAGUUAUCCACCUGGGGAGUACGCUCGCAAGAGUGAA